rnacentral:rRNA from 1 species
UUAAACAUCCAUACCACGUUAAAUACACCGGUUCUCGUCCGUUCACCGAAGUUAAGCAACGUCGGGCGCGGUCAGUACCUACUUGGAUGGGUGACCGCCUGGGAACACCGCGUGACGUUGGUU